UUUAAACCCUGAGAUGAAGUCCGGGUCCACGGAAACAGAGAAACUCGAAGGGGAGGGCCCUCCCAGAAGACGGCCGUGCACGGGCUUGAAAAGGACAAUAGCCCUCUCCUCGUUCUCCGAGGCGGAGGCGGCGGCGGCGGCGGCGGCGGCGGCGGAGGCGGAGGCGGAGGCGGAGGAUGAGGCCGAUUCCGCCGGCAAUUCCUCGAUCACCGGGCCGCUGCUCCGGUUCUGCAGGUAGGGCAUCGCGAUUUCAGGUUCAUCGUCCUCCAUUAUAGGCGGUAGCUCCGCGUCCUAUCACACAACA
rnacentral:lncRNA from 1 species